GUGCUUGCUUUGGCAGCACAUAUACUGAAAUUGGAAUGAUACAGAAAAGAUUAACAUGGCCCCUGUGCAGGGAUGACACUCAAAUUCAUGAAGCAUUCCAUAUUAAA
rnacentral:snRNA from 1 species